rnacentral:rRNA from 1 species
GACGAACGCUGGCGGCGUGCUUAACACAUGCAAGUCGAACGGAAAGGCCCUGCUUUUGUGGGGUGCUCGAGUGGCGAACGGGUGAGUAACACGUGAGUAACCUGCCCUUGACUUUGGGAUAACUUCAGGAAACUGGGGCUAAUACCGGAUAGGAGCUCCUGCUGCAUGGUGGGGGUUGGAAAGUUUCGGCGGUUGGGGAUGGACUCGCGGCUUAUCAGCUUGUUGGUGGGGUAGUGGCUUACCAAGGCUUUGACGGGUAGCCGGCCUGAGAAGGUGACCGGCCACAUUGGGACUGUGAUACGGCCCAGACUCCUACGGGAGGCAGCAGUGGUGAAUAUUGCACAAUGGGCGGAAGCCUGAUGCAGCAACGCCGCGUGCGGGAUGACGGCCUUCGGGUUGUAAACCGCUUUCGCCUGUGACGAAGCGUGAGUGACGGUAAUGGGUAAAGAAGCACCGGCUAACUACGUG